GCAGUUCCCUGCCAGCAGCCAAGGAGGCAAGAGCUCUGGGAGUGAGGAUGCGGAGAGGAGCCUAGUAGCAAGUAAUCAUACCAUGAACUAAUGUGAAGUCACACUUUUAAAGGACAUGUAUAAAAGAAAGGGCCUUCUACCAUGGUCAGCAGUCAGGUUCUUACAGUUCAGCCAUCACAAUGCCAAUCGGAGAACCCGGGCUGAAGACAGGUGCCUGCCCAAGGAAAGGGGAGCUGGGGCUUAUCUCCAGGAGUCUUUAUAACGAAAGGGGCAGUCAGGACCCUGGGCCACGAAAGCUGCAUCUGCCUAGCUGAUGACGUUGGAGGGAAUCCCCAGUUGUGGGAGCGGCACUUACUGGUAAUUACAUCCCCUGUGGCACAGAUUUGGAAGAUUCCGGAGAAGAGAUCUGAGCAGGGAAAGUGGUUCAGGGAAGAGUUUGCGGUAACGACCCCAGGCAAGCAAGCACCCAACUGGGAAGGCUCAUGAAGCCGAGGAGGCCAAAGGUCAAGGACUUUUUCUGUCUUUCAGAAAAGAAAAGAGAAAAAAAAUAUAAUAAAGAAAGGAAAAGGAAUCAGAAAGUUGACUCUGAGCUGGUCCUUUCUACCCUCCCUGAGUUGGGCCCUUCAGGGUGUGGGGCCACCCCUUUGAGUGAGUUGGGCAGGAGACAGGUGGUCACCACCUCCCUCUCUCUCAAGAUCUCUUAUAUCAUCAAAAUCAUGGCAGGUGGGAAAAGAAGAGGUGUCGAAUUCCCUCCCACUCAGUCAUAGGAGAACAGCCACCUUAGGGGCUGGUGAAUGUCAGCAGGACGCUGGGGUGUUCACCCAUACAUGGUUACAACCCAACAACUUGGUGCAUUGGCUGGGAACACCGACGAUGGCCUAGAAGAAGCAGAGAGGAUGGAGGUUCCCAUGGUGGCAGCUGCAGUGGGUGUGGACCUGGUUCAGCAAACACUGCACCUAAUGGGGCAGGUCCUCCAGCAGCAACAGCAACAAUCUGUAUGACAGCUGGGUUUGGAGGAGAACUGGAUUCAGCAGCAGGCAUGGAAAUAGAGAAAUGCUGUACAGUUAAGGAUUCUGAAGAUGACCAUUCAUGAUGACCCCGAAGUGUUCCUGGAGAGCUUUGAAUGGGCAGCCCUGGCAGUGGGGCUGGAGAGGUCGUGAUGGGCAGGGAACUUCGUUGUUUUGUUGAUUGGAAAGGCUCAGGCAGCCUAUGGGUCUAUGCCCAGGAAGAAGCUAGGGACUACAAUAAGGUCAAACAGGAAGUAGUACAUAGGCUCAAUAUUAACCCAGAGAUGUACCGCCAAGCAUUUAGGGCCUGGAAAUCAUGGGAAACAAGGGAACCGAGAGCCCUGUUGCAGUGGUUGGCCCAUCUGGCAACUAAGUGGUUGAGACCCCUGGAAAACUUGAAGAGUGAGAUCUGUGAUAAGAUCCUGCUAGAGUAGUUUCUCUAUGAUUUCGAUGAGGAAACCCAGUGGUGGGUCCAUUGUCAUUGACCAGAGACAUCCACUGAAGUGCUGCAGCUGGCAGAGAAUUUUUGGAGCACCCUGGGGGAAAAGAUGCCAGAACGAAGCUCCCAUAUGAUGGGUCCCUCCAGGCCCCAUGAUCCCACAAGGUCCAUGAACCAAGGACCCCGGGAGAACAGGAGGCCUGAGGAUGGUGGGGUGAUCUGCUUCUGAUGUGGAAGAUUGGGGGCACAUGGCCCAGGACUCUCUCCUCAUCGCAGGGCCCUACGUGGGCAACCCACUCGCCCUUCACAGAGCGGAAUGAGUCUUCAGGACAAGGUGACCCCUCCGGAGUCAAAAUCAUGGACUGUAGUGUUGGAAAGAGCUCAACAGCUGGCCCCAGGUCCCAUCCCACGGGCAGCACUUGGGUCAGAGGUAGAAGAUUGGAGGUGAUCACUGAUACAGGUUGCUCACAUGCAUUUAUUCAAAGUAAAUUAGCUCCUUCCAUGUAUAUAUGAAAAGCUACCCCAGUAGAGGUAACCUGCAUGCAUGGACAUAGCACCUUUUACCCCUCGUGAGUUUACCGAGUCACGGUAUUCGGGUUCUAUGCAAGAAAUGCCUGUGGGGCUGGCUUGGGACUUGCCAUACCCCAUGAUCCUGGGCUGGGACUGGCCUGAGAUCUACAAAGUGCUUGGAGUUGCAAAGAACAUCAGGAGGGGAGAGGUCAGCCUGGCUGGAGAAGACACCGGGGACCUUGACCUCGAACAGCUGACAAGCAGUCAGCCCUUUCAAAAGGCCCAAGAAGAAGAGCAGGAAUUCUGGGCCGUAUGGGAAAUGGAAUUGGCAAAGGUGGAAGACGAGGUGGUGGACCCAGCUUGCUAUGCCCGCACGCCCUGAUUCGAGGUUAGGAAUGGCUUAUUAUAUCGAGUAAAGCAAAGCACUUCAGUGGGGGGAAGAGGUGGCUCAACUACUGAUUCCCACCCAGUUUAGACUUCUCCUCUUGAAUCUAAGACACAGGAAUCCUCUGGGGGGGUCACAUGGGGCACCAGAAGACUGAAGCCAGGUUAAUGAGAUGAUGCUUCUAGGCUGGGCUGUAUGACCAGGUCAAAACAUUUUGCCGGGCUUGUCCAGCUUGCCAAAGGGCAAGUGGGAACUGGCCUGCAUGAGCUUCAUUACAGCCCAUGCCAAUAAUCGAGGUUCCCUUUUCCAGUAUUGCACUGGACAUCAUGGGUCCCCUCUCUCUAAGAGUUCAGCUGGCCACCAAUUUCUGCUGGUUAUCGUGGACUAUACCACUAGGUUCCCUGAAGUGGUCCCCAUGUGGUCGGUCACAGGGCCCCAGGUGGCAGAGGAGUUAAUGAAGUGGAUUGCCUGAGUGGGCAUCCCAAAGGAAAUCAUCACAGACCAGGGGUCAAACUUUGUCGAAUGUCAUGCGCAGCCUUUGCAAGACGCUGCAGAUUAAACACCUUCGCACCACAGUCUUUCACCCUCAGACUAAUGGGGUGGUGGAAAGAUUUAAUCAAACCCUGAACAAUAUGUUGAGGAGGUGUAUGCAGGUAGAACCCUGCCAGUGGGACUGAAUGAUUCCCCCAUUGUUAUUUGCAGCAUGAGAAGCACCUCAGUCAUCGCUAGGAUGUGCCCUGUUUGACCUAGUUCAUGGACACCAGCCUAGAAGCCUGCUAGAUCUAGUCAAAGAAGGAUGGGAGGCUAGGCAGGAGGGUGGUUUAAACUCCUCCAGAUACGUUGAGAACUUGCAGCAACAUCUACAAAGGGCAGGAGAAUUGGCCCGUGAUUACCUGAGGACCACCCAGCAGUCCCAGAAGGCCGCAUAUGAUAAGAAGACCCAAGAAAGGGGCUUUUGAAUAGGUCAAAAUGUUUUGGUGUUGCUUCCUGACAACGAGAAUAAACUCAUGAAAUGUUGGCAGGGGCUCUUCAUGAUAACCUGGAAAAUGGGUCCCGUAGAUUACGAGGUUCUUAAACCUGGAUCUCAUAGGGAGAAACAAGUUUACCAUGUUAACCUGCUUAAAGAAUGGAGGGAGCAGGAAGGUCUAUUGAUUGCCCCUUCCCCUCCAGAGGACAAGUUUGGCCGAGAGCUUGACCCUAGGACGAAGGCCGAGGUCCUAGUCAUCCCUAUGGGAGCCCAAAUCAAUCCAGCACAACAAGGCCCGGUCUAGGCCCUCAUAAAAGAGUUCCAAGAUGUCUUUAGUGAGAACCCUGGGUGUGCCCAUGGCAUAGUUAUGCCCCCAGGACAGGUCAUCAGGGAGAAAUGGAGGAGGAUUCCCCACUGUAGACAUGAGGCCAUCCGCACCAAGUUAGCCAAAAUGCUGGAACAGGGGAUAAUCCAGGAAUCAUGGAGCCCCUGGCAGAGCCUUGUUGUACCAGUUACCAAGCCCGAUGGUUCUUUACAACUGUGUAUUGACUUCAGGGAAGUGAAUGCCAUUUCCAGGUUCGACGCUUUCCCGAUGCCACAGAUCAGCGAGCUUCUCGAAGAUGCUAUGAGAAGGAAGAUAGAAUGACUUUGGGGACAGCGGACGUGGAGCCGAUCAUACAGAAACCCCAGGGUUGGUUUUCCCCAGCCGAUCGGAGAACCCGGGCUGAAGACAGGUGAAGACAGGCACUGCCCAAGGAAAGGGGAGCCAGGGCUUACCUCCAGCAGUCUUCAUAACAAAAGAGGGGCAGUCAGGACCCCGGGCCACGAAAGCUGCAUCUGCCUGGCUGAUGAUGUCAGAGGGAAUCCCCAGUUGUGAGAGCGGCACUUACUG